rnacentral:rRNA from 1 species
UACGUAGGGGGCGAGCGUUGUCCGGAGUUACUGGGCGUAAAGCGCACGCAGGCGGUGCUGCGCGUUUGGGGUUACAGCUCCGGCUCACCGGGAGAGCGCCUCGAAGACGGCAGCACUUGAGGGCCAGAGAGGGACACGGAACUCCGGGUGGAGUGGUGAAAUGCGUAGAUAUCCGGAAGAACACCAAAGGCGAAAGCAGUGUCCUGGCUGGUACCUGACGCUCGACGGUGACGAAAGCGUAGGG